rnacentral:rRNA from 1 species
UUGGGAAUCUUGGACAAUGCCUNAAACCCUGAUCCAGCCAUGCCGCGUGAGUGAUGAAGGCCUUCGGGUUGUAAAACUCUUUCGACGGGGACNAUAAUGACGGUACCCGUAGAAGAAGCUCCGGCUAACUUCGUGCCAGCAGCCGCGGUAAUACGAAGGGGGCUAGCGUUGUUCGGAAUUACUGGGCGUAAAGCGCGCGCAGGCGGUCUUCCAAGUCAGUGGUGAAAGCCUGGAGCUCAACUCCAGAACUGCCAUUGAAACUGUUAGACUUGAGUACGAGAGAGGUGAGUGGAAUUCCCAGUGUAGAGGUGAAGUUCGUAGAUAUUGGGAAGAACACCAGUGGCGAAGGCGGCUCACUGGCUCGUAACUGACGCUCAGGCGCGACAGCGUGGGGAUCAAACAGGAUUAGAUACCCUGGUAGUCCACGCCGUAAACGAUGAAUGCUAGCCGUUGGAUAGCUUGCUAUUCAGUGGCGCAGCUAACGCAUUAAGCAUUCCGCCUGGGGAGUACGGCCGCAAGGUUG